GCUGUAGCUCAAUGGUAGAGCACUUGCCUAGCAUGUGUGAGGCACUGGGUUUGAUCCUCAGCACCGCA
rnacentral:tRNA from 1 species